GAUGAAGAACGUAGCGAAAUGCGAUAAGUAGUGUGAAUUGCAGAAUUCAGUGAAUCAUCGAAUCUUUGAACGCACAUUGUGCCCCUUGGUAUUCCAUGGGGCAUGCCUGUUCGAGCGUCAUUUGUACCUUCAAGCUUUGCUUGGUGUUGGGUGUUUGUCUCGCCUUUGCGUGUAGACUCGCCUUAAAAUAAUUGGCAGCCGGCGUAUUGAUUUCGGAGCGCAGUACAUCUCGCGCUUUGCACUCAUAACGACAGCGUCCAAAAGUACAUUUUACACUCUUGACCUCGGAUCAGGUAGGGAUACCCGCUGAACUUAAGCAUAUCAAUAAGCGGAGGA
rnacentral:misc_RNA from 1 species